UGGGAUGUAGCUCAGUGGCAAAGCACUUGCCUAGCAAGCGCAACGUCCUGGGUUCGAUUCCCAGUACCAA
rnacentral:tRNA from 1 species